GCAUAUCAAAAGCGGAGGAAAAGAAACCAACAGGGAUUGCCUCAGUAACGGCGAGUGAAGCGGCAAAAGCUCAAAUUUGAAACCCUCGGGAUUGUAAUUUGAAGAUUUGGCAUUGGAGAAAGCUAACCCAAGUUGCUUGGAAUAGUACGUCAUAGAGGGUGACAACCCCGUCUGGCUAACCGUUCUCCAUGUAUUGCCUUAUCAAAGAGUCGAGUUGUUUGGGAAUGCAGCUCAAAGUGGGUGGUAAACUCCAUCUAAAGCUAAAUACUGGUGAGAGACCGAUAGCGAACAAGUACUGUGAAGGAAAGGUGAAAAGAACUUUGAAAAGAGAGUGAAAUAGUAUGUGAAAUUGUUGAUAGGGAAGGAAAUGAGUGGAGAGUGGCCGAGGUUUCAGCCGCCCCUCGUGGGCGGUGUACUGCCGACGCCGAGUCAUCGAUAGCGAGACGAGGGUUACAAAUGGGAGCGCCUUUCGGGCGUUCUCCCCUAACCCUCCACACUGCCACCGACGACAUAAUCCACCCAUUUCACCCGUCUUGAAACACG
rnacentral:rRNA from 1 species